GCUGGCAUAGCUCAGGGGUAGAGCGCGUCCUUGGUAAGGACGAGGUCGUGGGUUCAAUCCCCACUGCCAGCU
rnacentral:tRNA from 1 species